CUGUACUUUCCACUGUCUUUUUUCUUCUUAUCGGGAAAAACGAUACUUCUGGAGUGCUUAGCAAACCCUUGGAAGGAAAUGAACAGCAUGCUCACAUCAGCCAUUGCUGUCAACCACCUUCAGAUAAGC
rnacentral:snoRNA from 1 species